CCAAAGGCUUUUUUAAGAGCCACCUAAGACAUUAACAUAAGUGUGU
rfam:Salmo salar isolate Sally breed double haploid chromosome ssa05, whole genome shotgun sequence.